CAGUAGCCGCGGUAAUACAGAGGGUGCGAGCGUUAAUCGGAUUUACUGGGCGUAAAGCGUGCGUAGGCGGCUUCUUAAGUCGGAUGUGAAAUCCCUGAGCUUAACUUAGGAAUUGCAUUCGAUACUGGUUAGCUAGAGUGUGGGAGAGGAUGGUAGAAUUCCAGGUGUAGCGGUGAAAUGCGUAGAGAUCUGGAGGAAUACCGAUGGCGAAGGCAGCCAUCUGGCCUAACACUGACGCUGAGGUACGAAAGCAUGGGGAGCAAACAGGAUUAGAUACCCCUGUAGUCCCUGUCUCUUAUAC
rnacentral:rRNA from 1 species